AUUGAACGCUGGCGGCAUGCUUUACACAUGCAAGUCGAACGGUAACAGGGAGCUUGCUCCGCUGACGAGUGGCGAACGGGUGAGUAAUGCAUCGGAACGUACCGUGUAAUGGGGGAUAACGUAGCGAAAGUUACGCUAAUACCGCAUACGCCCUGAGGGGGAAAGUGGGGGACCGCAAGGCCUCACGUUAUACGAGCGGCCGAUGUCGGAUUAGCUAGUUGGUGAGGUAAAGGCUCACCAAGGCGACGAUCUGUAGCGGGUCUGAGAGGAUGAUCCGCCACACUGGGACUGAGACACGGCCCAGACUCCUACGGGAGGCAGCAGUGGGGAAUUUUGGACAAUGGGGGCAACCCUGAUCCAGCCAUGCCGCGUGAGUGAAGAAGGCCUUCGGGUUGUAAAGCUCUUUCGGCCGGGAAGAAAUCGCAUGGGUUAAUACCCUGUGCGGAUGACGGUACCGGCAUAAGAAGCACCGGCUAACUACGUG
rnacentral:rRNA from 1 species